rnacentral:rRNA from 1 species
GUCUUAUUGAAAAUAAUUUUAAGUCAAUCUGCCCAAUGAUUUAAAUUAAAUGGCUGCAGUAUAAUUAACUGUACAAAGGUAGCAUAAUCAAUUGUUUUUUAAUUAAAAACUAGAAUGAAAGAAUUAAUGAGAUAUAUACUGUCUCAUAUAUAUUUAAUAAAUUUAAAUUUUUAGUAAAAAUGCUAAAAUUUUUUUAUGGGACGAUAAGACCCUAUAGAAUUUAAUAUUAAUAUUAAAUUAAUUAAUUAAUUAUAAUAUUAAUAUUUAAUUGGGAGGAUUAAUAAAUUUAAUAAACUUUAUUUUUAAAAUAAACUUUAAUUUUAGAAUAUAUUUUGAUCUUUUAUUAAAAAUUAAAAAAAUAAAUUACCUUAGGGAUAACAGCGUAAUAUCUUUUUAAAGAUCAUAUUAAUAAAGAUGUUUGCGACCUCGAUGUUGAAUUAAGAUAAAUUUUAGAUGUAGAGAUCUAAUUAUUAAGUCUGUUCGACUUUUAAAAUCU